GACAGAGGUGCCGAGCGUUAGGCGGAAUCACUGGGCUUAAAGCGUGUGUAGGCGGAUCGUUAAGUACCUUGUGAAAUCCCACGGCUCAACCGUGGAACUGCUGGGUAUACUGGCGGUCUUGAGCCACCUAGGGGCGAGCGGAACAAGCGGUGGAGCGGUGAAAUGCGUAGAUAUCGCUUGGAACGCCGACGGUGAAAACAGCUCGCUGGGGGGUGUGCUGACGCUGAGACACGAAAGCCAGGGGAGCAAACGGG
rnacentral:rRNA from 1 species